GGUUUGUGGUUCAGUGGUAGAGCGCUCGCCUAGCACGUGUGAGGCCCUGAGUUCAAUCCUCAGCACCA
rnacentral:tRNA from 1 species